UUCUCGAAUUUAUAUCGUUUUGGUUAUAUAGAAUAAUCACUCAAGAAAUUCUGAUUUGUAAAUUGUGUUUUCAUUUUGAAUUGAUGCAUCUUGUUGAUGCAAAGAGAAACAAUGAAAAAAAUGUUCACAUGAAAAUGGAAUGGAAGACUAUAACAUGUUGACCUGCAAUCGGCCUCUACUAAAAUUGAGUUCAUUUUCCAAAUUUUUAAUGAAACAUUAGGUGAUAAUACAUUUAUUUUGAUUUGCUUGUUAUAUUUUGAACUAACAUUAAUAUUUAAUUUACUUUCAUACGUGUUUUUCAUUUUAAUAGAUACGUAUAUGGCUGGUUAUAGUGCAUACCAAUUGGAUCCCGGUCCACUUGAACCAUCAGUAUUAACUCAACAACUUACCCAUAGGUCACGGGAUAUAUGGGAUGGAAAUGUUAAUAUGAUUUUAAAUACGAGGAGGUGUGAUGGAAAAUUUUGGGACCUCGUAAAGAAAUAUCCCAUUCAUCCACGAGUCUUAGAAGUGAUUGAAUUAUUAGAAUUAUAUGUUGUUUAUAUAUCAAAUCGACCUAGUAUUGAUCGUAGCUUGAUCACUUCACUAGUAGAGAUAUGGCGUCCUGAGACUCAUAUGUUUCACUUUAGGACGGGUGAGGCGACAAUCACCUUGCAAGAUGUAGAAGUGUUGUAUAGCUUACCUGUGAAUGGUGAUCCAGUACUUGGUGAUGAGUCGAUAAGGACCAUAUGGGAUUGGCAAAAUAUUUGUCAAAGAUUGUUAGGUUUUAUUCCACGUCCUCAAGACUUCAACCGUAGUAGCCUCAAGGUAACUACACUUAAUGCACAUAUGCUCGAGCAACUACAGUUACCUGACUUGGCAACACAAGAUAUGAUCAAUCAAAUGGCUAGAUGUUACAUGUUUUGGAUAAUUGUUGGUAUGAUGAUGGCAGAUACAUCUGGCAACUAUUUAAAGCUUAUGUUCCUUCCUAUGCUUGAGGAUCACAAUGUAGUUAGCUCUUAUAGUUAGGGUAGUGCAACUUUAGCGUGCUUGUAUCUCUUUCUUUGUAAGGCCUCAAAGAGUAACCAAAACGAGAUAGCUGGAUUUCUAUCACUACUCCAGGUAUACUUAAUAACUACAUCAAUUAUUUAAAAAUAUUUCUUCUAGUUCAUAAUCUCAUAAUUAUAUAUUUAUAUAUUAUGUUUAGAUUUGGGCAUGGGAAAGAGUUACUCUCCUCAAACCUCAGUUUAUUUGGGAACCAUAUUCGGAUGACUUAAUUGAGAAUCUUCUUGACUAUUGUCGAAUUGGACGAGACAUAUGGCGUGUUAGAGCUCCAAUUUUUUGUUGGGAUGUCGUCGAGGUUCACUUGCCUGAUCGAGUUAUGAGACAAUUUGGAUUGAAACAAACGAUACCAACUCCAUUUCUAUUUGACGCCACACAUUUUCACCAUGAUCGUAGGGGCAGACCAAAUACAAAUUGGAAGUUGGAGCAUGCACAAUGGUUACCUUUUUGAAACCAACGACUUCAAUAUAUUUGUGAUGCACCAUUCAAUCAUGAACCACUUCGAUAUGAUGACCCUUACCUUACUUGGUUCAGAUGCAUUACUCGUUUUGUUAUCGGUAAUCCUACUCAGCGUCCUCAACAACAAGAAGGUUAUGUACCAAAUUCAACGGCAUAUGAAACAAUGGUGCGUCAUAUUCAUUCCAUGGUUGAUAGAACGAGAGCACUUGGUGAUCAGCCAUUAAUGGAGGAUUUAUACAUAUUUCGUGCAAUGGUCCGGAAUGAAGGAGAAAAAUGCUUGACAUAUGUGCACGAGGCUGAUAGGAUUAAUAUACAAGCCGAUUAUAGAAGAGAUGAGGUACAUGAUGAUCAUUUACAUCCCCCUGUUCGUAGGCGAGGAAAAUGUGGUGUUGCUGGUAGGAUGGCUCGUGCUGUUGAGAAAGGACGAGCGCCUAUUGAAAUGGACGAAUCAGUCUCCGAAGAUGAUCACACAACUUCUGAUAUUGGUUCCAUUUCAAGGGGCUAAACUCAGGAGUUCACUCCUGGGGCAUCAGGUAUGACAUAUCAACCAACAAAUACUGAUAUUGUCCCAUACACAACAUCACAAAUAUUAAGGAAUCCAAGUCUUUCGUCACUUGAGAAUGUAUUUGGUAGUUCUCGGCCUCAACAUUUUGAGAAUGCCCCCAACUUUAAUUCAUCACCUGGGCUGCCAAUGUCCAUUGAGACCCAUGAUGCUGUUAAUUAUUUAGAGGACUCCAACAAUAAUAUAGAAAGUAAUGAGUUGGAUGACUCCAACGAUGAAGUGGAGAAAACAAACUAAUGUGGUGAACCAUCAGUGAAUGAGAAUCAUACGAAUUUUCCUAAGCGUUGUGAGACUGGUACUAUUAACAUCUUUAUAUUAUUUUUUGACAUAAAUGCUCCUCUUUUUAGUUGAAUAAUUGAAAAUUACCAUUGCUUGUCAAGGAGUCACUAUCUUUGCCAGCAUGGCAAAAGAAACAAGCAAAGAGAAACAAAUAACUAUAAUUGAGAGGUUUCAUUGUACUCGUCCUCCCCCUCCUCUCUCUUCUCCCUUUGGUUUGCAGAUCCAUCUCUCUCCUCUUUUCCUUUGCUCUUUCUCGAAACACCACAGUAUAAUGAUCUCCCCUGCGAGCUUGUGCAAAGCUAUUUGGACGAAGUAAAUGACAUCAAUUUCUGGCGUUGAAUUUCAAUUUUGGAGUUUCUACUCGAGAGUUGUGUGUCCCGGCAUUUAUUGGACCAUGAAGUAUUGAAAGAGAAAGAAGUGUGUCCAAUUAUAUAAUAUCAAACAUUUCGAGUUGUUUGAAAUAUUAGCAAUUUGAGCAUUUCUAAGUUAAGUUUGUUUUUUCCUCUA